rnacentral:rRNA from 1 species
GAUGAACGCUGGCGGCGUGCUUAACACAUGCAAGUCGAACGAAGCACUUUAUUUGAUUUCCUUCGGGACUGAUUAUUUUGUGACUGAGUGGCGGACGGGUGAGUAACGCGUGGGUAACCUGCCUUGUACAGGGGGAUAACAGUUGGAAACGGCUGCUAAUACCGCAUAAGCGCACGGCAUCGCAUGAUGCAGUGUGAAAAACUCCGGUGGUAUAAGAUGGACCCGCGUUGGAUUAGCUAGUUGGUGAGGUAACGGCCCACCAAGGCGACGAUCCAUAGCCGACCUGAGAGGGUGACCGGCCACAUUGGGACUGAGACACGGCCCAAACUCCUACGGGAGGCAGCAGUGGGGAAUAUUGCACAAUGGGCGAAAGCCUGAUGCAGCGACGCCGCGUGAGCGAAGAAGUAUUUCGGUAUGUAAAGCUCUAUCAGCAGGGAAGAUAAUGACGGUACCUGACUAAGAAGCACCGGCUAAAUACGUG